GAGCUUGCUCUUGGGUGACGAGUGGCGGACGGGUGAGUAAUGUCUGGGGAUCUGCCCGAUAGAGGGGGAUAACCACUGGAAACGGUGGCUAAUACCGCAUAACGUCGCAAGACCAAAGAGGGGGACCUUCGGGCCUCUCACUAUCGGAUGAACCCAUCGAUGGGAUUAGCUAGUAGGCGGGGUAAUGGCACCUAGGCGACGAUCCCUAGCUGGUCUGAGAGGAUGACCAGCCACACUGGAACUGAGACACGGUCCAGACUCCUACGGGAGGCAGCAGUGGGGAAUAUUGCACAAUGGGCGCAAGCCUGAUGCAGCCAUGCCGCGUGUAUGAAGAAGGCCUUCGGGUUGUAAAGUACUUUCAGCGGGGAGGAAGGCGGUGAGGUUAAUAAGCGUUGCGGAUUGACGUUACCCGCAGAAGAAGCACCGGCUAACUCCGUGCCAGCAGCCGCGGUAAUACG
rnacentral:rRNA from 1 species